rnacentral:rRNA from 1 species
AACGUAGGGCCCGAGCGUUGUCCGGAAUCACUGGGCGUAAAGCGCGCGCAGGCGGUGACCUAAGUGUCGUGUGAAAGCCCCCGGCUCAACUGGGGGAGGCCACGGCAAAAUGGGUCGCUCGAGCUGCGGAGAGGCCCCUCGAAUUGCCGGUGUAGCGGUGAAAUGCGUAGAGAUCGGCAGGAAGACCAAGGGGGAAGCCAGGGGGCUGGCCGCAGGCUGACGCUGAGGCGCGACAGCGUGGGGAGCAAACCGG